rnacentral:sRNA from 1 species
AUUCUGCCCAUGCGGGGAAGGAUGAGAAGCUUCGACCAAGGUUCGACUCGAGCGCCAGCGAGAGAGCGUGGCCGCAGGCAACGACCCGA